AGUAACGAGUGCCAGCGCCAAGCCCUGACUUGCUGGCCGGCAACCCUCUUUCACGGCGGGGUGCCUCAGGUGACUACUCGGCACAACGAUCACAUCCCAUGAUCACCAGCGUGCACAGCGUGAGGA
rnacentral:ncRNA from 2 species